GACGAACGCUGGCGGCGUGCCUAACACAUGCAAGUCGAACGGAAAGGCCCUGCUUGCAGGGUACUCGAGUGGCCAACGGGCGGGUAACACGUGGGUGAUCUGCCCUGCACUUCGGCAUAAGCGUGGGCAACUGGGUCUAAUACCUGAUAGGAGAUAUUUUGAGUGUGAGGGUUCGAAAGUUUUUUCGGUGUUGAAUGAGCUCGCGGCCUAUCAGCUUGUUGGCGGGGUAAUGGCGUACCAAGGCGGCGACGGGUAGCCGGACUGUGGGGGUGGGCGGCCACAUUGAGACUGAGAUGCGGCCCCGGCUCCUACUGGUGGCAGCAGUGGGGAAUAUUGCUCAAUGGGCGCCAGCCUGAUGCAGAGGCGCCGCGUGUGGGAUAACGGUCUUGGGGUUGUAAAAUCCUUUCGCUAGGGACGCAGCUUUUUGUGACGGUACCUAGAUAAGAAGCACCGGCUAACUACGUG
rnacentral:rRNA from 1 species